rnacentral:rRNA from 3 species
UAAACGACUCUCGGCAACGGAUAUCUCGGCUCACGCAUCGAUGAAGAACGUAGCAAAAUGCGAUACUUGGUGUGAAUUGCAGAAUCCCGUGAACCAUCGAGUUUUUGAACGCAAGUUGCGCCCAAUGCCAUUUGGUUGAGGGCACGCCUGCCUGGGCGUCACGC